CGCACGCGGGUAAUGCGGUGCGCCGGGGAGAAAUCCCGGUGUUUCGCUCCGGUGUCCGGGAUGUCCCGGAUAAUCCCCCCGCGGAGGCAUAACCGGAAAAGAGGUACGAC
rnacentral:sRNA from 1 species